rnacentral:lncRNA from 1 species
AUGCCAAAGAAUAAAGGCAAAGGAGGCAAAAACAGGCGCAGAGGUAAAAAUGAAAAUGAAUCUGAGAAAAGAGAGUUGGUGUUUAAAGAAUAUGGGCAAGAGUAUGCUCAGGUGACCAAAAUGCUGGGAUGUGGAUGGUUGGAAGCAAUGUGUUUUGAUGGUGUAAGGAGGCUGUGCCACAUAAGAGGGAAGUUGAGAAAAAAGGUUUGGAUAAAUACCUCAGACAUUAUAUUGAUUGGUCUAAGAGACUAUCAAGAUAACAAAGCUGAUGUAAUCUUAAAGUACAAUCAAGAUGAAGCAAGAAGUCUGAAGGCCUAUGGAGAACUUCCAGAACAUGCCAAAAUCAAUGAAAUGGACACAUUUGGUCCUGGGGAUGAUGAUGAAAUCGUGUUUGAUGAUAUUGGAGAGGAUGAUGAAGACAUUGAUGACAUCUAA